rnacentral:misc_RNA from 1 species
AAGUCGUAACAAGGUAACCGUAGGUGAACCUGCGGUUGGAUCAUUAAAAAGGUUAGGGUUUUAUCACCCUAAACAAACCUCUUGUGAACUAUUACUGUUAUUGGCAGCUAAUCCCUUCAGAGAAGCUUGAGUGUUCUCGUAAUCAUAUGUGUUGCAGAAUUAACCGCUCUGAUUUGUUGGGACUGUCAAAGAGCUCUGCUAUGUAUAUAGCAACUCACAAAUAAACUUGUAUUAUUUUCUUUGUUUGUUACUUGUGGUUUUUGUUUAUCAAAACAAACCAAAAAUAUAAAACAACUUUUGACAACGGAUCUCUUGGCUCUC